AUUGAACGCUGGCGGCAGGCCUAACACAUGCAAGUCGAACGGUAACAGGAAGAAGCUUGCUUCUUUGCUGACGAGUGGCGGACGGGUGAGUAAUGUCUGGGAAACUGCCUGAUGGAGGGGGAUAACUACUGGAAACGGUAGCUAAUACCGCAUAACGUCGCAAGACCAAAGAGGGGGACCUUCGGGCCUCUUGCCAUCGGAUGUGCCCAGAUGGGAUUAGCUAGUAGGUGGGGUAACGGCUCACCUAGGCGACGAUCCCUAGAUGGUCUGAGAGGAUGACCAGCCACACUGGAACUGAGACACGGUCCAGACUCCUACGGGAGGCAGCAGUGGGGAAUAUUGCACAAUGGGCGCAAGCCUGAUGCAGCCAUGCCGCGUGUAUGAAGAAGGCCUUCGGGUUGUAAAGUACUUUCAGCGGGGAGGAAGGGAGUAAAGUUAAUACCUUUGCUCAUUGACGUUACCCGCAGAAGAAGCACCGGCUAACUCCGUG
rnacentral:rRNA from 1 species